rnacentral:rRNA from 1 species
AUUGAACGCUGGCGGCAUGCCUUACACAUGCAAGUCGAACGGUAACAGGUUAGGCUGACGAGUGGCGAACGGGUGAGUAAUACAUCGGAACGUGCCCAGUAGUGGGGGAUAGCCCGGCGAAAGCCGGAUUAAUACCGCAUACGACCUAAGGGUGAAAGGGGGGGAUCGCAAGACCUCUCGCUAUUGGAGCGGCCGAUGUCAGAUUAGCUAGUUGGUGGGGUAAAAGCUCACCAAGGCGACGAUCUGUAGCUGGUCUGAGAGGACGACCAGCCACACUGGGACUGAGACACGGCCCAGACUCCUACGGGAGGCAGCAGUGGGGAAUUUUGGACAAUGGGCGCAAGCCUGAUCCAGCCAUGCCGCGUGCGGGAAGAAGGCCUUCGGGUUGUAAACCGCUUUUGUCAGGGAAGAAAUCCUUUGGGUUAAUACCUCGGGGGGAUGACGGUACCUGAAGAAUAAGCACCGGCUAACUACGUG